AUGUAUGUAUGUAUGUAUGUAUGUAUGUAUGUAUUUGGCCCCGUUCCUGAAAAAAAGCUUUUAAAUCCUUGUGAUUUACUGAGUGAUAGAGGUGACAGGAAUGUCUUUUGUUAUUUAUAACAAGCCCCUUUAGAACAUAACGGAGUUUAUGUGAAUGAGGUGGCACUUGGUGAGCCCACAGCUAGUGUCAGGAUGGGGGCUGGUUGUCAGGGGAACCAACCAUGCGAUUAGGGGGUAGGAGCUUUCAGACCCACCCCUGGACCUCUGGGGAGGGGAGAGAGGCUAGAGUUCAAGUUUAGUCACCAAUGGCUGAUGAUUUAAUGAAUCACGUCUAAGGAAUGGAACCUCCAUAAAAAUCCCUAAAUGACAGGAAUUGGAGAGCUUCUGACCAAUUAACUCAGAAAGUGUCAACUUCUGUAUCUACAUCAAUGACACCCAAAUAUGUAUCUCUAGCCUGACAUAGCUCAAGCGGCUCCAGUGCAGGAGACAGAGGGAGCCUGGAAUCCAAAGAAGAGAGCUCCAACCAGCAUAGAGUUGUCAACAGUGCAAGCUGCUGAAAAGAGGACAAGGAAGAUAUUAUCCCUCCACGCCAACCAGCAUGCACUUCUCAACCAGCCUUACUGCCUAUAAACUACCGCUGUUUUGACUGUCAGCUAAAUGAUGAAAGCCUGAGAGAGGGCAUUUUAUUAGUGGCAUAGUCAGAUGCAGCUGUGCUCUAAGACCAUCCUCUGAAAAUGCCUGGGAGAAACUAUUUCCUUCUCAUUGACAAUUACUAAAAAUGGUCAUUCGUUGGCCAGGUCCACUAAACAGUGCAUACGUUGAUCAGAGUUAUUUUGUUUGAAAUUAGUGUGCUGUACAGAAAGCUUUGUCUUGCAUGAACCUGUGUUUUGAUAAAACAGAGACCUUGGGCAUUAGCAGAUAGGAGGAUGGGUGACAGUUUACCACUAACUUUAAACAGGUUCAAAGGUAAAUACCAUAUUUUGUUAAUUUUCAUAUUCAUUAAAGAUCUAAAUAUUGAGAAGUUUGCUUGAGGAUUAAGUAUCUUCCAACCAGGGGCACCAAGGUGAGGACACUUUAAACUAGAUAUACCUGGGCUACAGCACUGAAAAGUAGGGCCUAUGAGGGUGGGGGAUUUUGUGUCUUGUUUGUUGCUGUAUUCCCAGAGCCUGGAACACUGCUGAGUAUAUAACAGGCACUAAAUAAAUACUUCUAAAUGAAUGA
rnacentral:lncRNA from 1 species